GGUCCGGCACAAUCUCUUGAUUAAGCUAUAUAGCUUGAUUUAGCUAUAUAGCUUUAUUAAGCUAUUCAGAAUAGCUUGAUUAAGCUAUUUUCUCAGACUUUUUUCUCAAAUGUGUUAUUUUUUCAACAGGUGCAAAAAGUCGCACCUUGGUGCAGUGGAAAUAUUAAACUUUGUACUGCUCUGAAUACAAUGCAUGUAAAAAUCACUCACCAAAUUGCGUCUACUUGAGAGACUUUUUACUCAAAGUUUUAAAUGUUUUGGGGCUAUUGAUGAGUGACCACACAGUUAUUUCUUGAAUGAAAUUAUAAAGGAGGCCAGUUAUGGCCAACAGGAUAAUUGAUUAGUAACAGUUCAGCACAAUGAGAAGCAAUCAUACUUACCCACGCCUCACCACACACUCAGUUACUCAAACAAUGGAAAUUCAUAUUUUGCUUAAAAGUAUUCAACAGCAGCAAUGUUAGAACUUUCUAUGAUUUAGGUUGUAUUUUUGAUAGUCCAUAGUACAUAUAUGAAUAGUCAAAUAUUUGCGACUUUUUGUUUAUUUUUUUCAAAAAACGUUUUUGUGAAAAAUUGCAUAUAAAUAGCUUUAUCAAGCUAUUUUGAAUAGCUUAAUAAAGCUAUAUAGCUUUUUAAAGCUAUAUAGCUUAAUCAAGAGAUUGUGCUGGACCUGUUGAUAACUUGGUGGAUGUAGAUGCUUAGCCAGUCAGUCUCUAGGCUUGUGAAUAUGGAAUCCGGGUGCUCACAAGGACAAGAGGUGUAUGAAAAGAAAAAUAUAAAGAAAUCGUGUAAGGAUCGAAAGUUUGAAGUGUCUGUUGGAAUGAUCAACAUCGAACUUUCUGAGCCUUCGUACUGAAAGUGAAUCCGUUCGUGACACCAAUUAACUGUCAACCUUCUAACAUAACCAUUUACUAAUUUCAUAGAAUAUCAGUGAGGAAGUGCAUGAUUCUCUAGCAAACACGUCAGAAGUUUUGGAUCUUCAUUAAUUGGGAUCUUUGGCACGUACGUUGGGGGGAAAUAUCAUCUGUUGAUUUUAUGGGAUCAUUGUAUCAAUAUAGUUGUGUAGUACAUAUUUUUUGCAUGUAAUACAUGUGUUUGUCACUCUAGUCAAUAACUUUGUACCAGUACAUAAGCAUGAUAAGCCACUGGCAGUUCAUUGUAAAUGUAUACUUUGUUGAGGUCUCAAUAACUAUUCCAAUUCCUUAGCCAACUCAUUUAUUAAAACUUACUUCUUAUUUUAGAAAAUGCAGACUGGAGUUUACUAAAUUCAUGUAUAUCAUAACAUGAUUAUCAUUAAUUUAACCAAGGUGACUGAUUCUCCGGUAAUCAUAUUUUCUCUGUAAAUAACCUUUAAUGUAGAAUACUUUCCGUGAGAAUAUUUUAUGAAAGUGUGCUUAUAUUGUACAUCUGAGAGUUAUAUCAUAUGCAAUAUUUGUCUCA